rnacentral:pre_miRNA from 1 species
CGCCAAUUCUUACCGCGGUAAUAGAACUGCAUAGUUUCUAUCACCGGGUGAAAAUUCGGCUCG